UCCAAAAGAAGUGACUUCAUGGAAAGGCUUCUAUGAAUGAAACCUAUCACCAAGCAAAGUGCAGAGGCUGCAUCCAAAUGGCUCCUUCCUAGCAACUGUAUGAUAGGCAGAAACAGAACAGACUGAUAGCUGUUUUUCCUUCUUCCCAAGACAGUGGUGAGUGGCACUAGCAGGUACGUUUAGCCCAGGAGAAGUGUCACAAGGGACCUGCCUCCCACAGGCAGCCUCUUCAGGCACAGUUCUUUCCUGGCCCCUCUCCAAGCACUAUGCCUACCUACUAAUACAUCUGGUGGGCUUUCUUGCUCAGAGCCAUCUUACUACUUGUUAUCAAGGGCCUGAUCUUACCAAAUGCUGAGCUGUGCCAUCAGUUUCUACUGACUUUCCUGGAGGGACCACACCGUACCACAGAUUUGGGCCUUGAGACAUUUCAAGGAAAGGUUACUUUGAUUGGGAGCUACAGUAGGGGUUAACAAGUUAGUCUGUGUCACUGCCUGUGGAUUUGAGGAGCCAUGGCCAGCUCCCAGGGGAGGAGGAUGAGACUGGAUGUUUGCAUCCUGCAGUGCUGGCACCAAGGUGUUCAGAGCCAACAACCAUACAGCCUGCAAGAGAGAUACUAAAACUGGCAUCUGCCCUUUGUUCAACGGGUUAGAUGAUCCUGGUUCACAUUACUGAGGCUGCAUCCAAUACAAAGCUGGAGACAAGACUAAAACUCCAGCCUUCCUGCUCCCCACCCCUCCAGCACUCCUUAGCACCAGGCAGGACAGUAGAAUCACUGGGACAAUUUGCAUCCGGGAUGUGCAGUGCUUUCCUGGGCUCCUGGUCUCACAGCCUCUUCCUUUCUGCUGUGUUCUCGGCGUGAAGCUGGGAACAAAGGGCAUCUGGAGCGUGGCUGCUCCCUCCUGUCCUCACAGCAGGUGAAUGGAAGCGCGACUGUUGUGUGUCGGAACUCAUUGAUGGCCACAGCUGCCCCCGAGGCUGUGCUGGAUUGUUGUGCCCUGCUGAAACCGUGGCACGAGCAUUGGAAUGGGGAGCUGUGCUCUGUGGAGGCUCAUACUGUGCCAGGCUAAGCAAUUAGGGCUUGUCCACUGAAUAAAGCAAACUGUGACCAGG